GGUCAAGCUACAAAGAGCUCACGGCGGAUACCUUGGCACACAGAGGCGAUGAAGGACGUGGUUACCUGCGAUAACUCUCGGGGAGCUGGAAACACGCUUUGAUCCGGGAAUUUCCGAAUGGGGCAACCCCUAGAACGGCCAGCUGAAUCCAUAGGCUGGCGCGAGCCAACCCAGCGAACUGAAACAUCUUAGAGCGAGAAGAA
rnacentral:rRNA from 1 species